AGGGAAGAUCUGCACCUUGGAGGCAUACCAUUGAAGGCCCGGAUGACAUGCCAGCACGUAUCAAAUCGUCAAUGUUUGGCUGCACCCUGACGGUUCCAAUCACAAAUGGACAGCUUAACAUGGUAACCUGGCAGGGGAUAUGGCUAA